GUGAGCAGAUACCAGCAUCUCAGAUUUCACCUGCUGCACCAUGAAGCCUCCAAUCACAGCCAGGCACACCUGGGAAAGGCCCUCCCAGGGGAAAGCCCUGACUCAUGUCUCUGUUUGAUCAACAAAACGUGAACCAACCACCAGACAGUCUCUUCCAAACAGUCACAGGCCAGUUUCAAGAUUUUAGUAAGUUUCAGAAAUGCCCUUCUUAAAAUUUCUUCCUUUUUUUGUCACACUAAAGUACAAAGACUCUUUAUCUAAUACUGGAUAGAAAUCGGUGGGUUUUUAAAGUUCAGCUAAAGGAACCUUUUUCAUAGACACACCUUUACUUAAAUGCACAACUUUAACAUUCCCUGUAUUACUUUGAAUUUUAAUCAGUUUGCUAUUGUUUACAGUCUCUAUUAACUGAUUUAUCAUCACUCUGUGGUCCCUCUGUCCAUCCAGAAUUAAGGAAGACAACCUUCUCUUACUCUGCACCAUCAGCCUGGAAUCAUCUCUAAACAGACUUUAACUUCCUGAUCUGAUUCUGCUUCUGUUCUUAACUACAACUUUGUAAUUAGUUCUCAUCUUACACAUUUUGAGUCUGUUCCUUAAUAUACACUUGCACUGUUGUUUUGUCUGUAACUUUUAGGGUUGUAUAUAAUGCUGAUCUCUUUUGAAAACUAGGAUUUAUUUCCCGGUGAGAUUUAUCCCAUAUAAAUAAAAGUAAAAAAAAAAAAAAAAAAACAUCUUUCUUUUCCUUUUUGCUUUCAAGUGAAACUGUUUAUAAAAUCCUUCAGUGAAUAAAUAUUCUUUAGUCUCAAAAUAA